rnacentral:rRNA from 1 species
UACGUAGGGACCAAGCGUUGUUCGGAUUUACUGGGCGUAAAGGGCGCGUAGGCGGCAUAUUAAGUCAGCUGUGAAAUCUCCGAGCUUAACUCGGAACUGUCAGCUGAUACUGAUGUGCUAGAGUGCAGAAGGGGCAAUCAGAAUUCUUGGUGUAGCGGUGAAAUGCGUAGAUAUCAAGAGGAAUACCUGAGGUGAAGACGGGUUGCUAGGCUGACACUGACGCUGAGGCGCGAAAGCCAGGGGAGCAAACGGG